AUUGAACGCUGGCGGCAGGCCUAACACAUGCAAGUCGAGCGAGCGGCGGACGGGUGAGUAAUGGAUGGGGACUGCCCGCUAGAGGGGGAUAACUACUGGAAACGGUAGCGAAUACAGCAUACUAUCGGAUAACACAUAUGGGAUUAGCUAGUGGGUGAGGUAAUGGCUCACCUAGGCGACGAUCCCUAGCUGGGCGGAGAGGGUGAUCAGCCACACUGGGACUGAGACACGGCCCAGACUCCUCCGGAGGCAGCAGUGGGGAAUAUUGCACAAUGGGCGCAAGCCUGAUGCAGCCAUGCCGCGUGUAUGAAGAAGGCCCUAGGUUUGUAAAAUACUUUCAGUCGGGAGGCGUUACCGACAGAAGAAGCACCGGCUAACUCCGUGCCAGCAGCCGCGGUAAUUC
rnacentral:rRNA from 1 species